rnacentral:rRNA from 1 species
GGACGAACGCUGGCGGCGUGCUUAACACAUGCAAGUCGAACGGAAAGGCCCUGCUUGCAGGGUGCUCGAGUGGCGAACGGGUGAGUAACACGUGGGUGAUCUGCCCCCUACUUUGGGAUAAGCCUGGGAAACUGGGUCUAAUACUGGAUAGGACCAUGCUGUAGGUGGUGUGGUGGAAAGAUUAGUUUCGGUAAGGGAUGAGCUCGCGGCCUAUCAGCUUGUUGGUGGGGUAAUGGCCUACCAAGGCGUCGACGGGUAGCCGGCCUGAGAGGGUGGACGGCCACAUUGGGACUGAGAUACGGCCCAGACUCCUACGGGAGGCAGCAGUGGGGAAUAUUGCACAAUGGGCGCAAGCCUGAUGCAGCGACGCCGCGUGGGGGAUGACGGCCUUCGGGCUGUAAACUCCUUUCAGCCAUGACGAAGCCCUUGUGGUGACGGUAGUGGUAGAAGAAGCACCGGCUAACUACGUG